GUUUUGAAUGAGAAGACUGGGAAGGUUUAUAACACUUUGCUCUAAUAUACUCCUUUAUCACCAUGCUUAUUGUCAAUAUCUGUGCCCUUAUACUGUGCAUUUUCUUAUUAUUUUGCAUAAUGGUUGUAAGCAGGAAUAGUUUCAUUUCUUGUUUGAGCAGUGGUUAAGAAGAUUUUGCUUAGAUUUAUUUUGCACCUAACAGCUAAAAAAAUUUAUAACUUUGACGUGUUUUGGCAAUUUUAUUAUCCUAACCUUUUAAUUUUUGCAAGUUUGUCCAAUUGAUCAAAAUUUAUCAAAAUUGGAAUAACAAAUUUUAAUACAAAUUUUAAUGGAGAAUAAUUUGAUUAUAGCAUGUCGUGGAAUGACUUGCAGCUAAUUUUGACUAAUUUUUUUAUUCAAAUUGGUGAUAAAAUAUGAAGUUUUAUUUUAAUUUUGACUAGUUGGAUAAAAUUGCAACUAAGUUUUGAAGUCACGACGAAAUUGCCAAAAAUUAAAAGACUUGGACAAAUUGCAAAAAC
rnacentral:misc_RNA from 1 species